GACGAACGCUGGCGGCGUGCUUAACACAUGCAAGUCGAGCGGUAAGGCCCUUUCGGGGGUACACGAGCGGCGAACGGGUGAGUAACACGUGGGUGACCUGCCCUUAGCUCUGGGAUAAGCCUGGGAAACUGGGUCUAAUACCGGAUAUGACUCCAUGACGCAUGUUGUGGGGUGGAAAGCCUUGUGCGGCUAGGGAUGGGCCUGCGGCCUAUCAGCUUGUUGGUGGGGUGANGGCCUACCAAGGCGACGACGGGUAGCCGGCCUGAGAGGGCGACCGGCCACACUGGGACUGAGACACGGCCCAGACUCCUACGGGAGGCAGCAGUGGGGAAUCUUGCGCAAUGGGCGAAAGCCUGACGCAGCGACGCCGCGUGGGGAUGACGGCCUCGG
rnacentral:rRNA from 1 species